CAGACUUUCACAGUAAAUGUGUUCAAAUGUCCAGCUGAUUUACUUUAUUAUGGAUGUAAAUCCCUAAUCUCAGGAAAAACAUCCCGCUUUUAAGGUUAAACGUUGUUUUUAUGGAGGAGAUUUUUGCUCGUUUUUCGCUGCCGGCUGGUUUAACGAGCUUCACAGCUCCAGAGAGAAAAACAACGUUCUGCCUCGAACGUCAGACAUUCAGACUCGGCGCUGACUUUACUCUCUGCCUGCUGCAGGGACAAGCUGGAUGCAAAACUGUCCUGAUGUCGACUUUAAGGAAUGAAACGCAGCUCAGCUACCAAAGAAACAACAAACUGUAGUUUCCUGCCGGCUGUCCUUCCAGAUCACGAAGAAACGAGGAAAAACCUGGAAGAGCCUCAGAUCUGCUGCUUUCCUCCAGCUGCCCCACAGCCAGAGCAGGGCAGAGCGGCCACACGCUGGAGCCGGG